rnacentral:rRNA from 1 species
ACGAACGCUGGCGGCGUGCCUAAUACAUGCAAGUCGAACGCUUCUUUCCUCCCGAGUGCUUGCACUCAAUUGGAAAGAGGAGUGGCGGACGGGUGAGUAACACGUGGGUAACCUACCCAUCAGAGGGGGAUAACACUUGGAAACAGGUGCUAAUACCGCAUAACAGUUUAUGCCGCGUGGCAUAAGAGUGAAAGGCGCUUUCGGGUGUCGCUGAUGGAUGGACCCGCGGUGCAUUAGCUAGUUGGUGAGGUAACGGCUCACCAAGGCCACGAUGCAUAGCCGACCUGAGAGGGUGAUCGGCCACACUGGGACUGAGACACGGCCCAGACUCCUACGGGAGGCAGCAGUAGGGAAUCUUCGGCAAUGGACGAAAGUCUGACCGAGCAACGCCGCGUGAGUGAAGAAGGUUUUCGGAUCGUAAAACUCUGUUGUUAGAGAAGAACAAGGACGUUAGUAACUGAACGUCCCCUGACGGUAUCUAACCAGAAAGCCACGGCUAACUACGUG